UUCGGAAGGGAUAACCGCUGAAAGCAUCUAAGCGGGAAGCCUGUUCCAAGAUUAGGAUUCUCACCACCUUGAGUGGGUAAGACCCCCUACAGACUAUGGGGUUGAUAGGCCAGAACUGGAAGCGCAGUAAUGCGUGCAGGUGACUGGUACUAAUCGGUCGAGGACUUACCACACA
rnacentral:rRNA from 1 species